AGCAGCCGCGGUAAUUCCAGCUCCAAUAGCGUAUAUUAAAGUUGUUGCAGUUAAAAAGCUCGUAGUUGAAUUUCGGAAUCUGUCCAUCGGUCGGGCUUCACUGUCCGUACUGGUGUGGUGGGUUCUUACCUUCUGAAUAACCAGCAUGCCAUUCACUUGGUGCGCUGGGGAAGCAGGACUAUUACCUUGAAAAAAUUAGAGUGCUCAAAGCAGGCUAGUGCCUGAAUACAUUAGCAUGGAAUAAUAAAAUAGGACGGCAUGGUUCUAUUUUGUUGGUUUCUAGGAUCACCGUAAUGAUUAAUAGGGAUAGUUGGGGGCAUUAGUAUUCAAUUGUCAGAGGUGAAAUUCUUGGAUUUAUUGAAGACUAAACUUCUGCGAAAGCAUUUGCCAAGGAUGUUUUCAUUAAUCAAGAACGAAAGUUAGGGGAUCGAAGACGAUCAGAUACCGUCGUAGUCUUAACCAUAAACUAUGCCGACUAGGGAUCGGACGAUGUUAAUUUUUUAAUGACUCGUUC
rnacentral:rRNA from 1 species